GAGAGCGGCGCACGGGUGAGUAACGCGUAUGCAACCUACCUUAUACAGGGGGAUAGCCCAGAGAAAUUUGGAUUAAUACCCCAUGGCACUAUUUUAUCGCAUGGUAAAAUAGUUAAAGAUUUAUCGGUAUAAGAUGGGCAUGCGUGACAUUAGAUUGUUGGCGGGGUAACGGCCCACCAAGUCAGCGAUGUCUAGGGGUUCUGAGAGGAUGAUCCCCCACACUGGUACUGAGACACGGACCAGACUCCUACGGGAGGCAGCAGUGAGGAAUAUUGGUCAAUGGGCGCAAGCCUGAACCAGCCAUCCCGCGUGAAGGAUGACGGCCCUAUGGGUUGUAAACUUCUUUUAUGUACCAAGAAUAUGCCUUACGAGUAGGGUAUUGACGGUAGUGCAUGAAUAAGCAUCGGCUAACUCCGUGCCAGCAGCCGCGGUAAUACGGAGGAUGCGAGCGUUAUCCGGAUUCAUUGGGUUUAAAGGGUGCGUAGGCGGUUUAUUAAGUCAGUGGUGAAAUCCUGCGGCUCAACCGUAGAACUGCCAUUGAUACUGAUAAACUUGAAUAUAGUUGAGGUAGGCGGAAUGAGUAGUGUAGCGGUGAAAUGCUUAGAUAUUACUCAGAACACCGAUUGCGAAGGCAGCUUGCUAAGCUAUUAUUGACGCUGAGGCACGAAAGCGUGGGGAUCAAACAGGAUUAGAUACCCUGGUAGUCCACGCCGUAAACGAUGUUCACUCGCUGUUUGCGAUAUACAGUAAGCGGCCAAGCGAAAGCAUUAAGUGAACCACCUGGGGAGUACGUCGGCAACGGUGAAACUCAAAGGAAUUGACGGGGGCCCGCACAAGCGGAGGAACAUGUGGUUUAAUUCGAUGAUACGCGAGGAACCUUACCUGGGCUUAAAUGUAGAGUGCAUGUGGUGGAAACACCCUUCCCUUCGGGGCUAUCUACAAGGUGCUGCAUGGUUGUCGUCAGCUCGUGCCGUGAGGUGUCGGGUCAAGUCCCAUAACGAGCGCNAACCCUUACCGUUAGUUGCCAUCAGGUCAUGCUGGGGACUCUAGCGGGACUGCCACCGUAAGGUGAGAGGAAGGUGGGGAUGACGCCAAAUCAGCACGGCCCUUAUGUCCAGGGCUACACACGUGUUACAAUGGCCGAUACAAAGGGCAGCUACACCGCGAGGUGAUGCUAAUCUCGAAAGUCGGUCUCAGUUCGGAUCGGAGUCUGCAACUCGACUCCGUGAAGUUGGAUUCGCUAGUAAUCGCGCAUCAGCCAUGGCGCGGUGAAUACGUUCCCGGGCCUUGUACACACCGCCCGUCAAACCAUGGAAGCUGGGGGGACCUGAAGUAUGCAACCGCNAGGAGCGUCCUAGGGUAAAACCGGUGACUGGGGUUAAGCCGUAACAAGGU
rnacentral:rRNA from 1 species